UACGAAGGGGGCUAGCGUUGCUCGGAAUCACUGGGCUUAAAGGGCGCGUAGGCGGCUUGCCAAGUCAGGGGUGAAAUCUUUCGGCUCAACCGGAAAAGUGCCUUUGAUACUGGCGAGCUAGAGCGGGGUAGGGGCAUGUGGAACUUCCGGUGGAGCGGUGAAAUGCGUUGAUAUCGGAAGGAACACCGGUGGCGAAAGCGACGUGCUGGACCUCUUCUGACGCUGAGGCGCGAAAGCGUGGGGAUCAAACAGG
rnacentral:rRNA from 1 species